GUCUCGGAUAGCUUAAUUAGAAGAGCCCUUGGCGCGUAACCAAAAGAUCCGGGUUCGAUUCCCAGCCCGGGCU
rnacentral:tRNA from 1 species